CGGAAUAGCUCAAUUGGUAGAGCAACUGACUUGUAAUCAGUAGGUUGGGGGUUCAAGUCCUCUUUCCGG
rnacentral:tRNA from 1 species